AAUUUUUAAGUUGGGGUGACUGUGGAGUAAAAAAGACCCUCCAUACAAAACGACUAAACAUCGUAACAACAGGCCAACAAGCCCAAUAAAAAACACUUUGACCCAGUCAAACUGAUUAUUGAACCAAGUUACCCCAGGGAUAACAGCGCUAUCCCCUUAAAGAGUUCACAUCGCCAAGGGGGUUUACGACCUCGAUGUUGGAUCAGGACUUCCCAGUGGUGAAGCCGCUACUAAAGGUUCGUUUGUUCAACGAAUAAUGUCCUACGUGAUCU
rnacentral:rRNA from 1 species